rnacentral:rRNA from 1 species
UACGGAGGAUGCAAGCGUUAUCCGGAAUGAUUGGGCGUAAAGCGUCCGCAGGUGGCAAUGUAAGUCUGCUGUCAAAGCGUCUGGCUCAACCAGAUAAAGGCAGUGGAAACUACAUAGCUAGAGUAAGGUAGGGGUAGAGGGAAUUCCUGGUGUAGCGGUGAAAUGCGUAGAGAUCAGGAAGAACACCGGUGGCGAAGGCGGCAUCCUGGACCGGCAUUGACGCUGAUGAGCGAAAGCUAGGGGGAGCAAACGGG